rnacentral:lncRNA from 1 species
AAUUCAAUGAGAAACAAUAUUCAGGUCAGGUCAAAGCCUAGAGAAAAAUGCGCAUUCAGAAGUGGGCUGCCAUCCUGCUUUUUCUGAAGUGAACAGCUGCUGGGUAUUGAAACCAGCCCUCACGGUUGGGUCCCUGCCACCAUGGCAACACUCUGGUUUCUGAGCUGGAGUGGCCAAGGCACAAUGGGGUGGUUCCAUGGCCCAGAAGCACUCUAGCUACAGAUUAGAAUGAUGACAAGAGUAAUACCUUCCUAGUGAAGAUGACUUUUAUUUCAGGACUAUAUUAAGUUUCCCAACUUCUGUCAUGAUAUAGUCCAAAGAGAACCUGGACCACGCAGACAUCAAACAGAACAUGACACUGACCCAUUCUAUCAGUGACGUUGUGCUGAUUGCACAGGACAGAUGAGAGGCUCGUAUACUAGAAGUCUUGUUAUCCACAGAAGGAAUGAUCUGCAAUGUACACACGCCAGGACAGAAAUUCUACAGUUGCUGAUAAAAUGUAAACCUUCACAGGUAUACCUGAUGCUGCCAAUUACUGAGCUUUUUGAAGAUUCUGUGGUUUGAAGCCAGCUUAGGACUCAGCUUUUUUGGCUUGUCCAUCUGCUUUCCAGCUUCCAAAAUUUUGUUGCUCCUUAUCAUCUUUCCUAUACUGAUGAGCUCAGAAAGCUGCUGCUGUUGAUUGUCUGGCCAUGGAAAGAGUUCUCAGUCAAAUGAAAGUCUCUGCCUUGGGAUUUAUUAAACACUUUUAUUCUUUGACUUUUCACACAAAUUUUGCAGCAUCAGGUAUCCCCUCCCCUUCUGCUGUCUGCCAUAGUGGAAACAGCCUGAGGCCCUUGCCAGAUAUAGAUGUUCAAACCUGGACUUUCCAGCCACCAGAAUCGUCAGCCAAAUAAACUUCUUUUCUUUCUAAAUCAUCCA